GGGCCGGUGGCUCAGCCUGGUUAGAGCACACGGCUGAUAGACAACUGCAGAAACCGUGGGGUCGCCGGUUCAAAUCCGGCCCGGCCCA
rnacentral:tRNA from 1 species